AAAGUAUUAAGAAAAAAUAAAAGUUUCUAACUUUUUAUUUAAGUGGUUGAAUUCCAUUUAUACUUUG
rnacentral:tRNA from 1 species